rnacentral:rRNA from 1 species
UACGAAGGGGGCUAGCGUUGCUCGGAAUCACUGGGCGUAAAGCGCACGUAGGCGGAUUGUUAAGUCAGGGGUGAAAUCCUGGAGCUCAACUCCAGAACUGCCUUUGAUACUGGCGAUCUUGAGUCCGGGAGAGGUGAGUGGAACUCCGAGUGUAGAGGUGAAAUUCGUAGAUAUUCGGAAGAACACCAGUGGCGAAGGCGGCUCACUGGCCCGGUACUGACGCUGAGGCUCGAAAGCGUGGGGAGCAAACAGG